UGUGUAGGUGGCGCGCUAAGUCGGGUGUGAAAUUUCGGAGCUUAACUCCGAAACUGCAUUCGAUACUGGCGUGCUUGAGGACUGGAGAGGAGACUGGAAUUUACGGUGUAGCAGUGAAAUGCGUAGAUAUCGUAAAGGAAGACCAGUGGCGAAGGCGGGUCUCUGGACAGUUCCUGACACUGAGACACGAAGGCCAGGGGAGCAAACG
rnacentral:rRNA from 1 species